GCAGUAAAUGUGGAGCCGUAGCGAAAGCGAGUCUGAAUAGGGCGUUUAGUAUUUGGUCGUAGACCCGAAACCAGGUGAUCUACCCUUGGUCAGGUUGAAGUUCAGGUAACACUGAAUGGAGGACCGAACCGACUUACGUUGAAAAGUGAGCGGAUGAACUGAGGGUAGCGGAGAAAUUCCAAUCGAACCUGGAGAUAGCUGGUUCUCUCCGAAAUAGCUUUAGGGCUAGCCUCAAGUGAUGAUUAUUGGAGGUAGAGCACUGUUUGGACGAGGGGCCCCUCUCGGGUUACCGAAUUCAGACAAACUCCGAAUGCCAAUUAAUUUAACUUGGGAGUCAGAACAUGGGUGAUAAGGUCCGUGUUCGAAAGGGAAACAGCCCAGACCACCAGCUAAGGUCCCAAAAUAUAUGUUAAGUGGAAAAGGAUGUGGCGUUGCCCAGACAACUAGGAUGUUGGCUUAGAAGCAGCCAUCAUUUAA
rnacentral:rRNA from 1 species